GUGUUACUGUCUAACUUUUGAUGGCUCAUUCAUUAUUAUUGACCACCGUUCCGGUACUGGAUUCUCCGUUCAGGACUCGGCGAACACACCCCUUUGGCUCGGUGGUGGCCCGUGCGAGGCAGAAAGCCGUCUGAUGGCUGAGGUGUUGGCAUUGUGGGAAGGACUCGAGGCUGCUGAACUCCUCCAAUUAACACAUUUACGGAUCAAGACAGACGCUUUGUCCUUUUUUUUGCGAUAUUUUCCACCUUUUUGACAGACUUAGAGUGGUGGAAGUCUCUCACCUCUGUAGAUCUGCUAAUGUGAUGAGCCACUCUCUAGCUGGUUUAGGUAGAGCUCGCAACCCUGUUUUUGUAUGCUGCGGAUGAUCCGUAUGCUUCUCAUUUUGUCCAAAGCCUAAGCAUCACUCGGCCUCUUGCUUGCCCUCAACCUCCUCUUCUUCUCCCGCACCAGUGCCUGCGGCACCUGCCCCACCCCGACCCCCAAGCCACCCUAGCCCACCCCGAAGCCUUCCUACGGCAAGUGCCCCGUCGACACCCUCAAACUGGUCGCCUGCGCCAACGUGCUCAACGGCCUCAUCACCGUCGGCGUCGGCAAGUUCCCCGAGCAGCCGUGCGAGUGCUGCACUCUCAUCGACGGCCUCGUCGACCUCGAGGCGGCGGUGUGCCUCUGCACCACACUCAAGGCCAAGGUCCUCGGCAUCAACCUCAACGUCCUCGUCGACCUCAGCCUGCUCCUCAACUACUGUGGCAAGAAAGUCUCCAAGGAGUUCCAGUGCCCUUGAACCACUCGGCCAUCGUCUCCGCCACCCAUGUAUCCUUUGCGAUCUUCUUGAGGUUCUGAAACAGCUACUGUGUUUGAAGUGUCUUCUCUGUUCUACUGCGUAAUUCGUGUUGCUUUCGAUGCCGCAAGAUAUGAGACUGAUGCCUUCUUUUGUGAGAGAAGUCCGAGUAGAUCGGCGGUGAAUUGAUCCAAGUUCUUUUGCGACGAACCAUGCGGAGCCACCGCACCCUGCACGGCCUUCUUCACCUCUUUCAUCUUCCUCCUCAGUUCUGCACCGCCUUCCCCUCCCAUCAGGUCGUCGAUUCUGCUCGACACUUUGCCUCUGCUAACCUCACCGAUUUCCCCGAGAUCCAUCCCUAUUCCCAGAUUCUCAACCACCAGCUUCCGGUUGGGCGGCUGGUCCGAGAACAGCGGGAAGCACAGCAUCGGCACGCCGCACCACAUGCUCUCCGCCACCGAGUUCCACCCGCAGUGCGUCAAGAAGGCGCCGACCGCAGGGUGCUGCAGAACCUCUCGCUGGCGGCACCACGGCACCACCAUCCCCCGCUCGCGGCUCGCCUCCAAGAACCCUUGAGGAAGUGGGUUGGCGGCGCCGGAGCUCGAGCUCCCCGGUCGAAGCACCCAUACGAAGUUGGCCUUACUGUUCAAGACCCC